rnacentral:lncRNA from 10 species
AAAGUGGGAGCGAACUUCCUCUAACAACAUUUAAGGCAGAGACUCAAUAUUCAAACAUCUGUGGAGAGUAAUUCCAGCAUCAGUUUGGAAGCUAUACUAGGUUGAUCUUUGGACAAUCCAGACCCACAGAAACAGGUUCUCACUUUGUCAACCAGGCUGGAAUGCAGUGGUGCAAUUGCAGCUCACUGCAGCCUCAAACUCCUGGGCUCAAGCAAUCCUCCCACCUGAGCUUCCCGAAGCACUGGGAUUACAAGUGUGAGCCACUGCACCAGCCUAAUUUGUAAUAUUUGCAUUGGAAAGUAGAAGCAGCCUGCCUCUCAGUGCCCCAGAUUUGAAAAAGCAAGUUACAAUCACGUGUCAUUACAAUGAAUUAUUUUGGAUAUGAAAGAGGAAGACAGGACACCUUAUGAGAGGAGCUGCAGUGAGGAGGCUGCAUUGUGGCCCUUUCUUUUUAAAAAUGUGUAUAUUCAAGAUGUACAACAUAAUAUUUUGAUGUAUUAUACAUAGUGAAAUGAUUGGGUGGGGGUGGGGGAGACUGAGGGCAGAGAGGUGUGAGGGACGUCCUUUACUCCUGGAGUAUGUGAAAUAGAGCACAGGAGGAAAUCUCAUGCGUAAGAGAGCUGACAAACCAGUAUGGACACUGCCCAAUUAUCACUUAAUGUUUCCUUGAA